AAGUCGUAACAAGGUUUUCGUAGGUGAACCUGCGGAAGGAUCAUUAGUGAAUUCUUGGGAGUCCCUCUUAACCGGAGAAGGCCCAAUCCACUAUUUACAAACCCUCGUGCAUCUGUCCCUUUUACAUUUAACCCUUCUGCAUUACAAAAGGUUGUUGUGUUGUUAAUUUUGAUAAUUGAAAAAAAACUUUCAGCAAUGGAUCUCUUGGCUCUC
rnacentral:misc_RNA from 1 species